rnacentral:sRNA from 1 species
CUGACUUUUCAAAGAACACUUAAGUCUCCUCUUCAGUGUCCUCUAGAGUCAUAGAGCUUAUGGAAUGAAUAAGAUAGACAGACAGACAGACGGGCAGACAGACAGACAGACAGACAGACAGACAGACAGAAGGGGCUAUAGUCCAACUAAUUCAACAAUGGCCAGCCAUGAACGGGAAAUAAAUUAUCUUGUUCUUAUGUUGUCAAGUAAUACCUCUACGACACAGAUUCUCCAGGUAGGGCUGACAUGGCUUAGCAGGCAAGAGCAAAGGACCCAGAUUCAGCUUCCAGCACCCACACAGCAGCUCGCAACCAUCUAUAACUCUAAUUCUUUGGGAUUCAACACCGUCUUCUGGCCUUGGCAAGUUAUGCACAAGCAUACGUUCAGACAAAAACAUCCAUACACAUAAAAUAAAAGUAAGAAGAAAAACCUUUAAGAUUCUACAGACACUCAAACUGGUUGACUAGUACUUCCUGAUUGUGGGGAGUUGGAAUGUUGUAGAUCCUCAGCCAGUAUUACCUUUAGUCCCCCUCAGCACCAUUUAUCAUCUACCCUAGUAUCUGCUUUAAUAUCCAUCCACUUGACUGUUAGCUAUAAGUAUAUAAAGAUGGACACUCACUGGGAUUUCUAGAUUCUUAUGUCCCUGAACAAAUGUGAGGACAGAGAUGUAGAUGGCAACAUGGGCAUGAGAUGACAAAGAGAGUUUAUUGACAUUCAUUGGAAAAGAGAAAAGCCAAAUCCCAGAGAGAGAGAUGACACCAUUAAGAGGAAGCAGGACCAUGAAAGUCAAGAAAAUACUUUAUCUUAUGGGCCAUUUGCUCAAAGAUUCAUAUCUAGAUAGGCAGGUAUCUCACUAUCUCAUUAAGUAGUAAAUAGUAUACUACAUGUCUUUUUGACACUAGCCAUGUAGUCAGGGUGCCACAGGUCCUCGGUAGCUAUGCUCCAGAUGCUUGUAUACAGUAAGUCAUGACCUAGUUGAUAAAGUGUGGAAAUUUUGUUUUCAUUCCUGAUCUGUCUCUACAAAAACAUUCCACUAGUCAAGACAAGUCAUGUGGCAAAGCCAGCAUCAAUGGAUCAGGAAUACACCAUCUCUCAUAAUGUCAACAAGGCCACAUGACAGAAUAUUGGAGAUAUAACAUAAUUGGUAGCCAAUCAGGACACGGGGAGGAAAUCAGGACCAGCCAAGCUAACCAGAUGUAGCACUUCACAGCUUGAAUGUGUCACUCAAGCCUGUUGAUUCUGCUCACAUGACGUGUCAGAAUCCCAGACAGUACGUAAGUCUAAUUUUUACUAAUCCCAGACUAUGGCUCCAUUUCCACAAAAUGGACAGGUCAUUUCUGUCUAGAAAGGUCUAGAAAUAUAAAGAAAUCAAAACCCCCUAUUUUAUCUGACCUCUUCCUCAGAGGCAGAAUAUCUUUACUCUAGUCAUUUCCUGUUGCCUCCCUUAGAAAAACAAUUGCUAUUGGUUAUUGUGACAAGUGUUUUAAAAAUUGAAUUGUGUUCAUCUGGUUUAAGAUUUGACUAAUGAGUUUGGAAUCUCACUUUGAGCUAACAUUGUCCAGGCACUUUAAAAAGUCACCUAGAUAACAGAUUGCCUAACAUAAAGAGCUGUGUUUGGUUUCAAGGUAAUUCUAGUUCAUCUGGUGGUUUAUUAGCUGUGAUCAAAUCUGGCUGAAAGUGUCCAGAAGGACAGAGAAAGGGCGGAAAAUCAAAGACCUCACCUUGCCUACAUCUACACAGCCAAGACUGCCACAAAACAAGAGACAGAGUCUGCAUUAAAGCAGACACAAGAUAUAGACAUAAGUUGCCUGUUCUGCACCCAUGGAACUUCCUGGACGUCCAUUCGCUUUCUGACCUUUCCUGCCCAUGCUUCAGACGGAGCAACCCAUUCUUCAUGGCCUUCCAGGAUCACACCAGGCUCUCUCGGUUCCUGCUGCUUUCCCGAAUCCUCAUCCCUGAAGUCUCAGCGCACCUGUCCUGUCACCUCCAUGAAACUCCUGCAUCACCCUGUUUGGACGUAAUCUGAGCUCGCUGGGCUCUUCCUACCUCACGGGGCUUUUCUUCUGCUCUUGUGAUGGUCCGUGUGUGAAGCAAGACCCAUACGAAAAGGAUCCUGUGUAGGAGGCUUGGCCGUGGUUGAGGGCGCCGUUGAAGAUGAUUGAAUGUUAAGUGUGUUAACCUCUCCUGGCUUUUAGAUGAGGCCUAUAGGUUGCCGGGAGCAUCAAUUUGGAAGGUAUCUUUUUUUUUCUUUUAACUUUUUAUUGAUUUUUUUAUGAGUUUUACAUUAUGCACCCCAGUUCUUCUCAGCCCCCUGUCCCUUCAUAUCCACCCUUCGUCCUUGCAACCCCCCCCAAAAAAUAAAAAAUGCACAAAUAAGCAAACAACAACAACAAAAAAUAAGCAAAAAAAACCCAAAGCACAGAAAGCCUCUCAUCACGGAAGCUGGAGGGUGUCCCAGAAUAUAUAUCCCUCUGUUCGUUGCGCUGAGUCAUUGUUCUGGUUAGAGAUCUCUGGCUUCUGUGACACCAUCAAUAUUGGAUCCUCACCGGGCCUCCUCCCAGUUAUCCUGUGUUGGCCUGUGUCAUAGAGAUCUGGCAGCUUUGGAUCAGCAGUCCUGGCCUUUGCAUGUGUCCCAACCAUCCAUAGAUAACGGAUUUUUGGGUGAGUCAACUCAGAGCUUUGGAUCUGGGCCUGGGUGGUAGCUAAGCUGGUCAGAGCCCCCACUCUCCCUUAUCAGCACCACCAGGGCGAGUUCUCCAGCACUGUCCCAGCUAGGACACCCAGUACCACCCAUGCAGGGUCAGCUCUCACGCCCUCCAGGCCAACUCACCUGCACCCCUGCCUCCAGAGUCGGCUUCGCUGUGCUGCCCAGUCAAGGUGUGAGGCCCACUCUCCCUAGUGCUUCACCCAGUGAGAGAAAGAGCCAACUCACCCUUCCUCAUGAUCCCAGCCCAUGCCACCUCAUGGCAGACGAGGGCCAGCUCUCCUUCACUUUUUCCCAGCUCACCUGAGCCACCUCCACUAGGGUGAGCUCUACUGUGCUGCACAGGUGAGGUGUAGGGCCAGCUCACCCACUCUCAUGACCCCAGGGUCAGCUCUCCUAUACUCAUGGGGAGGGGUAUUGACUCACACCUCCAUCACCAGGGUCAGCUGUGUUGUCUGGGUGAGGUGCAGGGCCCAGUGCCACCUGUGACAGGUAGGCCCAACUCUCCAGAGCACAACAGCCAGUGAGAAGCAGGGCCAGCUCUGCAUGGGUCCACCUGGACGUCCACCUGGGCCACAGCAGCUGCCCCAACCGGGGAUGUCCCUAUGUUCCCUAGUGGUAAUAUGAACCACGGACAUCAACACCAACUUCUGCUUCUGUGUAGCCCCAGACCCAGACAUGGCCCUCAGUGGCAACUCAGGCUGGGGCCUCAUCAUGACCCCAGGUGGUAGGACUGGCCACUUACAACGGGCUGCUCCUCUCUCCCCUCGAGUCUCCAUUUUCCUUCCUCUUCCACCUGUCCACCACAUAUUGCACAUUGUGGUGGCUCCCACUGCAGGCUGACCACAAAGCUGACUCCCUGUGGUGAGCCCCCGGGUGACAUCCUCUGGCAAGCAGGUAUCUACAGCUCUCUGUGCCAUGUACUGGAGGGUAGGUCUGUGGGUGGCAUGGCCGUCAGCAGGUCUCUGUCUGUCUUCCUCCUCCCAUGCUGCACUGCCUGGAUUUGACUUGAUAUUUUUUAUAUGUCCUAGGCAUAAAACAGCUUUGGCCACCUUCCUUGAAAUCAAACUAUACUAAACAAAGAACUGCCAUCCACUCUGCCCCUAACAACACUACUGACAAGUGUUCUGCCUCGCUCCGGUCCCACCACGAUGGAGUCAGCCUUCAAUAAACAAAAACCUUCAAGUCAUGGGCCCAAAUACAUCUCUCCCCCACCCCACGACGGCAUCCAUCUCAGAUGCUUUCAGGAGUGAUGUAAAGUGACCAACUCGCUGUCUUAUUCUACAGGCUCUCAUAAAACCCGUCUCCCGGACCGACAAUAAAUUAUCUGUAGUAAGACCUCG